rnacentral:lncRNA from 1 species
UGGCUUCGUGUUCGCAGAAAGGGCGCUUCCAACUCCUCCAUUGGGCAGUGGCGUCCUUCCUGGUGGCAAGGGACGUGCGGCAUCGUUUACUGACUUGCGCCUCAUUGAACGGGAUGGAAGGAGCAGCCCCAUCAUGAAGGACUUGCCUAGUGUUAUAUCCAACAAUAAAUGUUAUUCUAUCACUCCUAUUGUUAAUUCCGGGUGCUUCUUUGGCGGGCCAGGAGGUUGCGUGUAAUACUAAGGUGUACUUUGAACGUGGUGGUGUAAUAAUGUUUCCCUUGAGUUUGUCUUCCCAAACUCAUACUGGCCUAAUAAGACACUAUGUGUUACUGUAUUAUGCACAUUAGCAAUGAAUUUACUCUUUCUAUAAAUUUUGAGUAUACACCGAGAGACAAGUUUAU